rnacentral:rRNA from 1 species
GACGAACGCUGGCGGCGUGCUUAACACAUGCAAGUCGAACGGAAAGGCCCUGCUUUUGUGGGGUGCUCGAGUGGCGAACGGGUGAGUAACACGUGAGUAACCUGCCCUUGACUUUGGGAUAACUUCAGGAAACUGGGGCUAAUACCGGAUAGGAGCUCCUGCUGCAUGGUGGGGGUUGGAAAGUUUCGGCGGUUGGGGAUGGACUCGCGGCUUAUCAGCUUGUUGGUGGGGUAGUGGCUUACCAAGGCUUUGACGGGUAGCCGGCCUGAGAGGGUGACCGGCCACAUUGGGACUGAGAGACGGAGCAGACUCCUACGGGGGGCAGCAGUGGGGAAUAUUGCACAAUGGGGCGAAGCCUGAUGCAGCAACGCCGCGUGCGGGAUGACGGCCUUCGGGUUGUAAACCGCUUUCGCCUGUGACGAAGCGUGAGUGACGGUAAUGGGUAAAGAAGCACCGGCUAACUACGUG